AGAGAUGUGUGAUGACGCAUAUCAAUAAGCGGAGGAAAAGAAACUAACAAGGAUUCCCUUAGUAACGGCGAGUGAAGCGGGAAGAGCUCAAAUUUGAAAUCUUCAAGGUUUUACCUUGACGAAUUGUAGUUUAAAGAAGUGUUUUCGGUUAGAGAGUUCGGUAAAAGUUCUUUGGAAUAGGACAUCAUAGAGGGUGAGAAUCCCGUAUUUGACCAUUAUUUUCAGCUGUGUGAUACACUUUCAAAGAGUCGGAUUGUUUGGGAAUGCAGUCCAAAAUGGGUGGUAGAUUUCAUCUAAAGCUAAAUAUUGGCGAGAGACCGAUAGCGAACAAGUACCGUGAGGGAAAGAUGAAAAGAACUUUGAAAAGAGAGUUAAACAGUACGUGAAAUUGUCAAAAGGGAAGCGUUUGACACCAGUGUUGUUUUCUCGAAAAUCAAUUAAAAAGAUGCCGGAUUUUGUGUUGUAUUGACCUUAUAAGCUUUCUGCACUCUUUUCUUAUCUUUUUUAAUGCACUUUUCGUUUAACAAGUCAACAUCAGUUUCUUUUGUUGUAAAAGGGUCAUUGGAAGGUGGCUUUCUUUUCGGAGAAAGUGUUUAUAGCCUUUGAUCUCUGCAACCGGAGAGACUGAGGUCUGCAGCGUAGACUCUUCGGGGUUAAAUACAUUUGUGCUAAGUUAUAGCUUUUCAUAGACAACUUGUUGACUAUGUUUAGUCUUGUAGCUUACUCGCUUAUGCUAUUUUACCUACACUUAGGAUGUUGAACUCUAUCACACACAG
rnacentral:rRNA from 1 species